rnacentral:misc_RNA from 1 species
AGCAAGAUGGCGCCCGCUACCUUACAGAAAAUUCGGGAUACAAUCACGGGAAAAGAGACUCAAGACGAUUCAUUGAUAACAGAGAUUUCUGAUGCAACCACACUGAGCUGGUCCACAAGGAUCAAAGGAUUUAUCAUAUGUUUUAUUAUUGGUGUGUCUUUCUCCUUUCUGGGAAUGAUUUUGUUAUGGAAAGAUAUAAAAUUAUUUGCUGUGUUCUACUCACUGGGUAAUGUAACAGCUCUUGCAAGUACAUGCUUUCUUAUGGGUCCUAUGAAACAGCUGCGAAAUAUGUUUAAAGAAAAGCGUCUGAUUGCUACCAUUGUAAUGCUGACCUGUCUGAUUCUUACUUUGUGUGCAGCACUCUGGGUAAGAUUUCACUUGGUUUCUAAGAUGUACAUGAAUUACAAAGACUUUAUUAAUUAACUGAUUUGACACUACUUAAUGAGUUUUAGAAGGCUGCCAGAUCAUUAAAUUUGUAGUACGAUGAGUAUUGAGGUAUUUUUGAAUGUUUCAAUCUCAAGUACAUUGGUUCUUACCUCAACUGCCUCCUCAGUCCCUCUCAAUGUCAUUCAGCAAGAUGGCAUAAAAACAUUGGCAAUUAACAACAUUGGAUGGGGAGACCUGAUAAAAGACCAUCAUUGACACUUUUCGGUGAAGUGUUCCAACUAAUUUUGUCUGGGAGUGUAGUCUUGUUUUGAUGUGAUAUAUAGUUUAUAGGGAGAUGCUGUAACCUAAUGGUCAGUGCACAGGACUCUGGGUAGAGAGGUCUAGGUGCAAGACCUGGCUGGUGGAAAAACAAGGGACUGGCUUUGGUUUUCUGUAUUCUUCAGUAUUUAGCCAUGACAUGGUACUGCCUAUCCUACAUUCCAUUUGCAAG